rnacentral:lncRNA from 1 species
GUAUUUACCCUAUUCUGUUGUCAUAUUUUGCCUAUUUUCCUAAUUAGCUUUUCUACUGCAUGGACCAGCUUGUUCAUCUGUGUAACUGCCCUAGUGCCAUGAAAGCUACUUAAUGAAGACACACCAUUCAUACCUGUGGUUUGCUUCCCUGGCCACAUGUAACAAUCACCUGAGGAGCUCUUGAACCAGCCUAGAGCCUAAGUCCCACACAAACUAUCUUCGUGUCUGGUUAACUGACCAGAGUACAUUUAAGAAUGACUGGACUACUUUAUAAUUUUCCAAGGCCUAUUCAUCUGCUCCAUGUGCCUCACUUCCGUGGCCGAUGUGACUUGGCAUAUCUGUUACUUGAGACUGAGAUCUGUUUUCUUCUGAUUCCAAUGCCACACAUGGAGUCAUAACCUGUGGUAAACGGUCUGUAAUAAUUCCUAGAUUUCGUUUCUUGAAUAGCAACUG